rnacentral:lncRNA from 1 species
CAAAUUGGGGGCAUGAGAUGGCCCUGUAGUUCCGGAAGUAUGCUGUGAAUGGCUCCUGUGACCAGUCGGUCUUGACCCGCCCGCCUUGCGUUGCCCAGUCAUCUGCAUUCCAGAUGGUGGCGUACACCCUCAUCGGAUAAUAGUAUGGGUAUGGGGCACCAUACAUCUGGUUGUUUUUGAUCUGCCGGUACAGCUUGUCAUCGACAAGGAAUCUGCAGCUCAGAAAUAGCGAUAUGAUUAUUACUUGCAGAAAAGGAAAAAUAUAUAGCAAUAUGAUUAGGCUUAGUGCUUGCAGAAAAAUAAGUAGGAUGAACAAGAUCAUUUCCUACUAGGUCAAUUCUUUUUCUAAAAUAUCUCUUCUAUUGACAUGGGGAGACCCUGUAGCCUUAUUACCGCCUUAGACCUUACUUCUCCUACCCCUCUCUGAAAGAAAAAUCUUUAGUAUGUACUACUGAAUGAUAUGGCACUGCAAAACUGAGCCUUAUACAUGAGCUAUAGUUUUUGCUAGAUGGAAGGGGGGAGCUUACAAGAUCCAGUCUUUAUUCCAGAUGAUGGUGUACUUGUGGUAAUCUUGAGUGGGAUCAAAAUCAAACUUGUACUGCUUCUCUCUGCCACCUUGUCCUCUGGCAUACAUGUUAGUGUGCAUGGUGUAGGGCUGGCCAGUGCUGUUCCCCAAGAACUCGAUGUCGAUCUCAUCAUGGUACUGCCAUGCCCCCUCUGUUAUCAUCUGUCACCAGAUUGCGACACAUAUUAGGUUGGUCUGACUCUGAAGGAUCCACAAGAGACUAGAAUGUCAAUAAUCAGUUGUUUUGUUAGCUACUUACAUAAAACGUGGUCACAGUGCCAGCUGAGUUCCCUGGGACGAGCUUGAUCUCCACGUCGAUCCUGCAGAACUGGCAUGUCUUCUUAGAGCGGAACGCAGAGCUAGUCGAGCGGUCGAGUGUCAGCGCGAUGGCCUUUUGGCCAGAGCUGUCAGUGACCACCUUUGCGUUGCCCCACAUUAUCUCUAGGUCAUCUAGGUCAUCAGUCUGGCCACCAGUGACAUGGGUGAUGGCUAGGAUAAGGUAGAUAGCCGCUAGGGAGGCUAGGAGUUGAGUCCUAGCCUGCCCCAUGGCUGCUGGUGCUGUUGGGUAGGU